GGGUGGGAGGCAGAUGCAGAUUGCUGUCUUCUCCCUUCAGACCUUGCUGCUGGUCCAGGGGUGAAACCUGGACCUGGAGGAAGGAUAGGGGCUACCAGGACUGCCUGCCACCGAGUACCUGGAGGAGCCCUGAGUACCCAGAUGAGCUGGAGGGACUCGCUCAAGGGACCGAGUAGGAAGGAGCCCAGGGACAGAACUGCACAGUGCGACUGGGGAAACUGAGGUAGAGUAUUUCAAACUAAGAGAAGUGACCCAAGUUCAGAUAGUGAUUCCGGCGAUAGAGUUUAACCACAAAGCUAUCCAUCCUCCUGGUACUAACAGAGAGAAGAAUGCCAUCUAUUGAACCACCAACACAACUUCCUGAAGAAGCUGGGUGCUCCUUGGAAGUCUCCUACUCAGUGGACGUACCUGACUAUGGUCUGUUUAGGACCCAUUUUAUACUGCAACAGCAUGUCAGAUUUGAAGACCCUACAUAGGAAUGCAAGGCUCUUCUUCUCCUAAGACUCAAGCUAGAACCUUGCUUAAAGAUGUUGUGACGCUCUCUACCUCGG